AACGCGAAGAACCUUACCUACCCUUGAGAUCCGCGGAAUCUGGCAGAGAUGCUGGAGUGCCGAAAGGAACCGCGAGACAGGUGCUGCAUGGCUGUCGUCAGCUCGUGUUGUGAGAUGUUGGGUUAAGUCCCGUAACGAGCGCAACCCUUAUCCUUAGUUGCCAACAUGUAAUGGUGGGGACUCUAAGGAGACUGCUGGUGAAGAACCGGAGGAAGGUGGGGACGACGUCAAGUCAUCAUGGCCUUUAUGGGUAGGGCCACACACGUGCUACAAUGGGACGUACAGAGGGGAGCCAACCCGCGAGGGGGAGCCAAUCUCAGAAAACGUCUCGUAGUCCGGAUUGAAGUCUGCAACUCGACUUCAUGAAGUUGGAAUCGCUAGUAAUCGCGAAUCAGAAUGUCGCGGUGAAUACGUUCCCGGGCCUUGUACACACCGUAGUAC
rnacentral:rRNA from 1 species